ensembl:lncRNA
CUCCUUUGUGGAGCUUUUCAUUGUGAGCCUAAAUCUUUGGAUACAGAAUUCCCCCAGAUCCUCAUGGAAGAGCUGUGUGCUGCUAUAGGAGCAGGACUGGGAAGUGACGUCUCUUCAUGGGCUGGAAGCUAUGCAAGAGAGGCGGCCAGAACACAGUUGUUUCCCCCAGUGAUGGAAAUCCUGUCCAGAAAUCCAUCCAAAGGCAUCUUCUCUUCACCACAGACCUGUAACCUGGAGGCCACAUUGGUCACUGGCAGAUGUGGGGAUGAAGGCUGUUUUAGGAGGUGUGCUGAGUCCUAUGGAAGGUGAAAUGAGAAGAGCCACCGGGUAGAAAAUGUGUGUUUCUCCAAGGCAAAAAGUGAUGGCAGAGCCAUGAGACCUGGGAAUGAGUCCAGACCCCGUGUGUCAACACUUUGAUAUGGAGGGUGUUGAGUUUCUGCUGUGGUCCACAAGACUGGAAGAACGGCUGUUCCAAAGCUUUGCAAUCUGCCUGUGUGAUGAAACAUCUCAAGUGUUUUCAAACACAGAAACAAACUGGGAGAUUUCACCCAAGAGAAAGGAUAACCUCUUGCUUUGGGCGCACAGUGAGACAUUUGCAAAUAUGCGUUUUGCUCCUUUAUUCAUAGACUCUCUUCCUAAUGAGAAAUAUCGCUAGGGUGCUGCUGCUUGUAGAGCCUAAAUGUAGCUGCAGAGCUAGUGCUUCUGGUGGUUUUGCUGCUCUGGAGAAGCAAGCAGAGCCAGGAGCUGGCAUUGGGUCUCUUGGUUUAUUGGUAGUAAGAACACAAGUCUGAUAAGACUGGAGACCUUGUCCUGUUUUCUAGAAACUCACACAUGGUGGAACGCUUUGCAUGAAAGAAUGAUGAGAGUUCAUAGUUAACACAAAUGUAUGUUUAAAGAUCAUACCUCUCCAAUGCACCAGACUGCUGUUUUCUGCUGCUCUCUUUGUUCCUGCUUCCCAAAGUGGUGGUGACCCCUUUGGCUUCUGCAGGUGUCUCCACAUCCUUCAGCAGCUUCAUGGGCAUGUGAAAGGCACUGUCCGUUGUGCAUCCACUGAUAGUUGAGAAAAGGGUUUGCACUGAAGGGCUUUACAAACCCAAUAUGUCUUUCCAGAGCAGUGGUCAUGUUUUAGAGACUUUCUCCUUAAUAUUUCUCUCUGACUCUCUCACUCCAAUACCUGUCUGUCUCAAACAAGUCCUGAAUGCAGUGACUCCUCCCUGAGGGAGGAGAUUUAUUGUUUUGGUGAGAACCACCCACUGGCCAAGCACUUGCAUAGGUCAGUUAGUGAGUGGUAAAGCCUAUAAAUAAAUUUGUUUAGAGAAUUGGUGAUGCCUCUGGGAAACUUUAAAUUAACACAUCUGUGUAGCGGUAUUUCCAGGCCUAUGCCUCUCUCAUUCCUUUUAUUUUUAGAGAUUUAUUCUCAAGACUAGCAGACUUCUUUCUUGGGGCCAUGUUUUUUAAAGUGGUCCUAUCUCAGCAUCCAAGUAUGAAACUAUAAUAAUAAUAAUAACAACAACAACUAAUGAAGGUGAUAAGAGCAGUACCUUUCACUUAUGUGUUUCUCAUUGCUCUGAUUUGCAUUACAUCAGAAAUGUACAAUAGAGGCUCUCUGCCAAGCAGAUAACCAGUGUUGACCUGAAGAAUCUAUGCUCCAAGACAUAAGCAGGCUCCAAAUAAAAAUAUACAUGCAAAAUUAUAUACACUCACAUAUAUGGAGUCAAUCUGAUUCAUCCAAAAAGAUGAAAGCAGUUGGCAAACAGCAAUUAACUCAUUUUCAUGCAAUAGAUAAGCAUCAUCUUUCUAUCUGAUGGAUGAGCAAGACAAGUUAAAUGACUUGCCCAAGGUUACACAAUGCAUCAGGGCAGAGCUUGGAAGCAGUAUAAAGGAGUCCUGAUUCCCUGAUCUAACCUUCCUCUUCUUGACUUUCAUCUGAAUUUCCAGUGUACGGAGG